GACGAACGCUGGCGGCGUGCUUAACACAUGCAAGUCGAACGGUGAUGCUCCAGCUUGCUGGCGUGGAUCAGUGGCGAACGGGUGAGUAACACGUGAGCAACCUGCCCCAGACUCUGGAAUAAGCGCUGGAAACGGCGUCUAAUACUGGAUACGAAACUGGCCCGCAUGGGCAUGGUUUGGAAAGUUUUUCGGUUUGGGAUGGGCUCGCGGCCUAUCAGCUUGUUGGUGAGGUAAUGGCUCACCAAGGCGACGACGGGUAGCCGGCCUGGGAGGGCGACCGGCCCCAGGGGGGUUGGGGAGGGGCCAAGGGCCCCUCGGGGGGGAGGGGGGGGGGAAUUGUCAACAUGGGGGGAAGCCGGGUGGAAGGACCGCGGGGGGGGGAGGACGGCCUUUGGGUUGGAAACCCUUUUCAGGAGGGAAGAAGGGAAAGGGAGGGAACCAAAAGAAAAAGCACCGGUUAACUACGG
rnacentral:rRNA from 1 species